rnacentral:snoRNA from 1 species
AAUGCUAAGAGCAGGAUUUUAAAAGAACACUGAGGGCACAGCGCCCGAGUCAGACUGCGGAAAUAUUCCUUGCUGCCUUCCUUCUGAGAACAAA